rnacentral:rRNA from 1 species
UCCACCUCCCACCCGUGUUUAUUUUACCUUGUUGCUUCGGCGGGCCCGCCUUAACUGGCCGCCGGGGGGCUUACGCCCCCGGGCCCGCGCCCGCCGAAGACACCCUCGAACUCUGUCUGAAGAUUGUAGUCUGAGUGAAAAUAUAAAUUAUUUAAAACUUUCAACAACGGAUCUCUUGGUUCCGGCAUCGAUGAAGAACGCAGCGAAAUGCGAUACGUAAUGUGAAUUGCAAAUUCAGUGAAUCAUCGAGUCUUUGAACGCACAUUGCGCCCCCUGGUAUUCCGGGGGGCAUGCCUGUCCGAGCGUCAUUGCUGCCCUCAAGCACGGCUUGUGUGUUGGGCCCCGUCCUCCGAUCCCGGGGGACGGGCCCGAAAGGCAGCGGCGGCACCGCGUCCGGUCCUCGAGCGUAUGGGGCUUUGUCACCCGCUCUGUAGGCCCGGCCGGCGCUUGCCGAUCAACCCAAAUUUUUAUCCAGGUUGACCUCGGAUCAGGUAGGGAUACCCGCUGAACUUAAGCAUAUCAAUAA